rnacentral:rRNA from 1 species
GACGAACGCUGGCGGCGUGCUUAACACAUGCAAGUCGAACGGAAAGGCCCUGCUUUUGUGGGGUGCUCGAGUGGCGAACGGGUGAGUAACACGUGAGUAACCUGCCCUUGACUUUGGGAUAACUUCAGGAAACUGGGGCUAAUACCGGAUAGGAUCUCCUGCUGCAUGGUGGGGGUUGGAAAGUUUCGGCGGUUGGGGAUGGACUCGCGGCUUAUCAGCUUGUUGGUGGGGUAGUGGCUUACCAAGGCUUUGACGGGUCGCCGGCCGGAGAGGGUGACCGGCCACCAUGGGCCUGAGGGACGGCGCAGUCUCCUACGGGAGGCAGCAGUGGGGAAUAUUGCACAAUGGGCGGAAGCCUGAGGCAGCAACGCCGCGUGCGGGAUGACGGCCUUCGGGUUAUAAACCGCUGUCGCCUGUGACGAAGCGUGAGUGACGGUAAUGGGUAAAGAAGCACCGGCUAACUACGUG